rnacentral:rRNA from 1 species
AUUGAACGCUGGCGGCAGGCCUAACACAUGCAAGUCGAGCGGAUGAGUGGAGCUUGCUCCAUGAUUCAGCGGCGGACGGGUGAGUAAUGCCUAGGAAUCUGCCUGGUAGUGGGGGACAACGUUUCGAAAGGAACGCUAAUACCGCAUACGUCCUACGGGAGAAAGUGGGGGAUCUUCGGACCUCACGCUAUCAGAUGAGCCUAGGUCGGAUUAGCUAGUUGGUGAGGUAAAGGCUCACCAAGGCGACGAUCCGUAACUGGUCUGAGAGGAUGAUCAGUCACACGGGAACUGAGACACGGUCCAGACUCCUACGGGAGGCAGCAGUGGGGAAUAUUGGACAAUGGGCGAAAGCCUGAUCCAGCCAUGCCGCGUGUGUGAAGAAGGUCUUCGGAUUGUAAAGUACUUUAAGUUGGGAGGAAGGGCAGUAAGUUAAUACCUUGCUGUUUUGACGUUACCAACAGAAUAAGCACCGGCUAACUUCGUGCCAGCCGCCGCAGUAACAC